CCCCUUCAGAACACCCAGACAUCCGGCAUCUACGGGAGCUACGAGAAACCAAAAUUGUUCCUUCUCACCAGAAAGGCUACUAAUGUAUUUCUCACCUGUAUCUCCAAAGGUAAAUGACUUCUCCUGCCCGGCUACACUGGGAUAUCUAUUGUCUUCAUUAUUGCUAAUCUCUGCCCUGUACAAUCCAAAGGUAUGUUCUAUACA